GGUCCUGUAGUGUAGUGGCCUAUCACCCCGCACUUUGAAUGCGGAAACCCGAGUUCGAAUCUCGGCAGGACCU